CUUUCCUCUCUCUCUUUUCUCUCUUCCCUUCUCUCUCCUUCGAAUUCUUUUUUGUAAUCUGAACGGAAUUUUUCUUGGUCAGCCGUCAUCUCCGUCGUUCGCCGGGUGGCGCCACCGGUAAACUGCCGUCCGUACGGCGAUCCAACCAGUGCCCUCAGGAAUAAAAAGUUCACAAAAUCUUGUUAGACGAUUUUGCCCCUGGGAAUAUCAACUUCCUACGGUUUUGCCACGGGGGCCUAGCUUGCUGGCAUUUAACAAAGGGCCGAGAAAAAAAAGGCAAAUGAGUUUCCAUUGCCACAGCCGUGGGCUGUUAUCAGCUGGGCCGUCAAGAAAGCGGAAGGAGCCGUCGGCUCUUAAAGCCGGAAGUUCGACCCGGAUCGAGCCGAAGCAAGCCCAUUCCCGACCAUCGCCGCCGCUCAGUACAAGAAGCCGAAGA